rnacentral:lncRNA from 1 species
ACUGUAGGGAUAUGAUGAGCUGUCACCCUGGUUGUGACAUCAGCAGUGAAGAGGAUGUGUAUGGAUAAUGAUAAGCUUUCACUCUUGCUCUGGCAUCACUGAGCUCAUUGAAAUAAAAAGGCACUGACAGAGAAGGCACUAGAAGAUGGGGCCAUUGCUGAGAAGGUCAUUUUAAAAGCUCAGAAACGGCUCCUGGCUGGAUUUUUAAAGGGAUCUUCUCGCGAACAGGGAUUCAUCCUGUUGAGGACAGCUGAGAGUGGAGAGCAACAGAACCAUCUGUUUCACUCGAGCGGUUCAGGUUUCCCG